UGUUUUAAAAAUAUUUUACUUAAAUUACAUUAUUAUUCUAAUAAAAAAAGCCUUUUGGUAGCCUUUCUUCAUAAUGACUAUUUUCAUUUCAGCUGACGUCAUCAGUCCCGUGUAUUUAUCAACAAAAACAUUUUCACCAUCCAAUCAACUCAUUGUGAAUUUUUUUUUUUUUUAAACCGAACAUGCUGUUUAACUUGGAAAUACAUCACAUUAAAACUCGACUACGUAACUUUUAUUCCUCUAGCGGUUAAAAUACAAAACAGGUGACUGGCGGAGGAAGAUUGUUUAGCGCGUCACGUGAGUUGUGCUUCGGCGCGGAUGAAUCUAAUGUUUUGAGGAACGCGCUGAUCUUUCACGAGCGGGAAUUUCAGUAACGACAACAAACUGAAACGAGCGAAUGAUAGUGAUUAUCAACAGAUUCGAGUCUGUGGCAGUGCUCUUCUUUUCGAGCCGGAGUGUGAGUUCAGUCGCCUCUGAACACACGACACCAAACGCCUGAGAGCCACAUCAGACGAACAGACGAGGGUCAGCGCGAGCGAAGCGUUCCCAGCGUCCAGUGCAGACGAAUGAGCGAGCAGUAACCUUCCUCAAACGCCCAUCAUCCUCAACCUGAGACACGGAGAGAAGGACAAAACGAGAUCGUCUAGACACCUGACCCGUCUCGUCCUCCAAGUCUAACCCAUCUCUCCGGUCCGGAUCUGUCCAAUUCCUCCCAU